CCACCGGGCAUGCCUCAGUAGCGGCGAGUGAAGCGGCAAAAGCUCAAAUUUGAAAUCUGGCGUCUUUGGCGUCCGAGUUGUAAUUUGAAGAAGGUAUCUUUGGGCCCGGCUCUUGUCUAUGUUCCUUGGAACAGGACGUCACAGAGGGUGAGAAUCCCGUGCGAUGAGAUGACCCGGGUCUGUGUAAAGUUCCUUCGACGAGUCGAGUUGUUUGGGAAUGCAGCUCUAAGUGGGUGGUAAAUUCCAUCUAAAGCUAAAUAUUGGCGAGAGACCGAUAGCGAACAAGUACAGUGAUGGAAAGAUGAAAAGAACUUUGAAAAGAGAGUGAAAAAGUACGUGAAAUUGUUGAAAGGGAAGGGCUUGAGAUCAGACUUGGUAUUUUGCAUGUUGCUCUCUCGGGGGCGGCCGCUGCGGUUUACCGGGCCAGCAUCGGUUUGGAGCGGCAGGAUAAUGGCGGAGGAAUGUGGCACGGCUUCUGCUGUGUGUUAUAGCCUCUGACGAUGCUGCCAGCCUAGACCGAGGACUGCGGUUUUUUACCUAGGAUGUUGGCAUAAUGAUCUUAAGUCGCCCGUCUUGAAMCMMCGGACMA
rnacentral:rRNA from 1 species